GAUGAACGCUGGCGGCGUGCCUAAUACAUGCAAGUCGAGCGAACAGACGAGGAGCUUGCUCCUCUGACGUUAGCGGCGGACGGGUGAGUAACACGUGGAUAACCUACCUAUAAGACUGGGAUAACUUCGGGAAACCGGAGCUAAUACCGGAUAAUAUAUUGAACCGCAUGGUUCAAUAGUGAAAGACGGUUUUGCUGUCACUUAUAGAUGGAUCCGCGCCGCAUUAGCUAGUUGGUAAGGUAACGGCUUACCAAGGCAACGAUGCGUAGCCGACCUGAGAGGGUGAUCGGCCACACUGGAACUGAGACACGGUCCAGACUCCUACGGGAGGCAGCAGUAGGGAAUCUUCCGCAAAGGGCGAAAGCCUGACGGAGCAACGCCGCGUGAAUGAUGAAGGUCUUCGGAUCGUAAGACUCUGUUAUUAGGGAAGAACAAAUGUGUAAGUAACUAUGCACGUCUUGACGGUACCUAAUCAGAAAGCCACGGCUAACUACGUG
rnacentral:rRNA from 1 species